rnacentral:rRNA from 1 species
AGAGUUUGAUCCUGGCUCAGAGUGAACGCUGGCGGCGUGCUUAACACAUGCAAGUCGAACGAGAACGGGUUAUAGCUUGCUAUAAUUGUCAGCUAAGUGGCGCACGGGUGAGUAAUGUAUAGGUAAUAUGCCUCUUACUAAGGGAUAACAAAUGGAAACGUUUGCUAAUACCUUAUACUCCUUGUUAACUUAAGUUAAUAAGGGAAAGAUUUAUUGGUAAGAGAUUAGCCUGUAUUGUAUCAGUUAGUUGGUGGGGUAAUGGCCUACCAAGACUAUGACACAUAACUGGUUUGAGAGGAUGAUCAGUCACACUGGAACUGAGACACGGUCCAGACUCCUACGGGAGGCAGCAGUGGGGAAUAUUGCACAAUGGACGAAAGUCUGAUGCAGCAACGCCGCGUGGAGGAUGACACAUUUCGGUGCGUAAACUCCUUUUAUAUGAGAAGAUAAUGACGGUAUUAUAUGAAUAAGCACCGGCUAACUCCGUGCCAGCAGCCGCGGUAAUACGGGGGGUGCAAGCGUUACUCGGAAUCACUGGGCGUAAAGAGCAUGUAGGCGGAUUAAUAAGUUUGGAGUGAAAUCCUAUAGCUUAACUAUAGAACUGCUUUGAAAACUGUUAAUCUAGAAUGUGGGAGAGGUAGAUGGAAUUUCUGGUGUAGGGGUAAAAUCCGUAGAGAUCAGAAGGAAUACCGAUUGCGAAGGCGAUCUA